GAUGAACGCUGGCGGCGUGCCUAAUACAUGCAAGUCGAGCGAACGGACGAGAAGCUUGCUUCUCUGAUGUUAGCGGCGGACGGGUGAGUAACACGUGGAUAACCUACCUAUAAGACUGGGAUAACUUCGGGAAACCGGAGCUAAUACCGGAUGAUAUUUUGAACCGCAUGGUUCAAAAGUGAAAGACGGUCUUGCUGUCACUUAUAGCUGGAUCCGCGCUGCAUUAGCUAGUUGGUAAGGUAACGGCUUACCAAGGCAACGAUGCAUAGCCGACCUGAGAGGGUGAUCGGCCACACUGGAACUGAGACACGGUCCAGACUCCUACGGGAGGCAGCAGUAGGGAAUCUUCCGCAAUGGGCGAAAGGCUGACGGAGCAACGCCGCGUGAGUGAUGAAGGUCUUCGGAUCGUAAAACUCUGUUAUUAGGGAAGAACAUAUGUGUAAGUAACUGUGCACAUCUUGACGGUACCUAAUCAGAAAGCCACGGCUAACUACGUG
rnacentral:rRNA from 1 species